rnacentral:rRNA from 1 species
UACGUAGGGGGCUAGCGUUGUCCGGAUUUAUUGGGCGUAAAGAGCGUGUAGGCGGCUUUGCAAGUCCGUUGUGAAAACUCGAGCUCAACCUCGAGACGCCGGUGGAAACUGCAAAGCUAGAGUCCGGAAGAGGAGAGUGGAAUUCCUGGUGUAGCGGUGAAAUGCGCAGAUAUCAGGAAGAACACCAAUGGCGAAAGCAGCUCUCUGGGACGGUACUGACGCUGAGACGCGAAAGCGUGGGGAGCGAACAGG